AAAUUGAAGAGUUUGAUCAUGGCUCAGAUUGAACGCUGGCGGCAGGCCUAACACAUGCAAGUCGAGCGGUAACAGAGAUAGCUUGCUAUCUGCUGACGAGCGGCGGACGGGUGAGUAAUGCAUAGGAAGUUGCCCUGAUGUGGGGGAUACCAGUUGGAAACGACUGUUAAUACCGCAUAAUCCCUGUUUCUUUUAAUUAAGAGCGGAGCAAAGCGGGGGACCUUCGGGCCUCGCGCGUUAGGAUACGCCUAUGUGGGAUUAGCUAGUUGGUGAGGUAAUGGCUCACCAAGGCGACGAUCCCUAGCUGGUCUGAGAGGAUGAUCAGCCACACUGGGACUGAGACACGGCCCAGACUCCUACGGGAGGCAGCAGUGGGGAAUAUUGCACAAUGGGCGAAAGCCUGAUGCAGCCAUGCCGCGUGUAUGAAGAAGGCCUUCGGGUUGUAAAGUACUUUCAGUUGCGAGGAAGGUUGCGUAGUUAAUAGCUACGUAGCUUGACGUUAGCAACAGAAGAAGCACCGGCUAACUCCGUGCCAGCAGCCGCGGUAAUACGGAGGGUGCGAGCGUUAAUCGGAAUUACUGGGCGUAAAGCGCAUGCAGGUGGUUUGUUAAGUCAGAUGUGAAAGCCCGGGGCUCAACCUCGGAAGGUCAUUUGAAACUGGCAAACUAGAGUACUGUAGAGGGGGUAGAAUUUCAGGUGUAGCGGUGAAAUGCGUAGAGAUCUGAAGGAAUACCAGUGGCGAAGGCGGCCCCCUGGACAGAUACUGACACUCAGAUGCGAAAGCGUGGGGAGCAAACGGGAUUAGAUACCCCGGUAGUCCACGCCGUAAACGAUGUCUACUUGGAGGUUGUGGCCUUGAGCCGUGGCUUUCGGAGCUAACGCGUUAAGUAGACCGCCUGGGGAGUACGGUCGCAAGAUUAAAACUCAAAUGAAUUGACGGGGGCCCGCACAAGCGGUGGAGCAUGUGGUUUAAUUCGAUGCAACGCGAAGAACCUUACCUACUCUUGACAUCUACAGAAGUCGGCGGAGACGCUGAUGUGCCUUCGGGAACUGUAAGACAGGUGCUGCAUGGCUGUCGUCAGCUCGUGUUGUGAAAUGUUGGGUUAAGUCCCGCAACGAGCGCAACCCUUAUCCUUGUUUGCCAGCGAGUAAUGUCGGGAACUCCAGGGAGACUGCCGGUGAUAAACCGGAGGAAGGUGGGGACGACGUCAAGUCAUCAUGGCCCUUACGAGUAGGGCUACACACGUGCUACAAUGGCGCAUACAGAGGGCAGCAAACUAGCGAUAGUGAGCGAAUCCCAAAAAGUGCGUCGUAGUCCGGAUUGGAGUCUGCAACUCGACUCCAUGAAGUCGGAAUCGCUAGUAAUCGUGGAUCAGAAUGCCACGGUGAAUACGUUCCCGGGCCUUGUACACACCGCCCGUCACACCAUGGGAGUGGGCUGCAAAAGAAGUAGGUAGUUUAACCUUUCGGGGAGGACGCUUACCACUUUGUGGUUCAUGACUGGGGUGAAGUCGUAACAAGGUAGCCCUAGGGGAACCUGGGGCUGGAUCACCUCCUUA
rnacentral:rRNA from 1 species